AUACAUAGGGGGCGAGCGUUAUCCGGAUUUAUUGGGCGUAAAGGGUGCGUAGGCGGUAAAUUAAGUCUAAGGUUAAAGUGCAGGGCUCAACCCUGUGAUGCCUUAGAAACUGGUUUACUUGAGUUUGGUAGAGGUAAGUGGAACUCCAUGUGUAGCGGUAAAAUGCGUAAAUAUAUGGAAGAACACCAGUGGCGAAGGCGCUUCACUAGCCCGAAACUGACGCUCAGUCACGAAAGCGUGGGUAGCAAAUAGGAUUAGAUACCCUAGUAGUCCACGCUGUAAACGAUGACAACUAAAUAUUGCCGCGAGGCAGUGUUGAAGCUAACGCAUUAAGUUGUCCGCCUGGGGAGUACGGUCGCAAGACUGAAACUUAAAGGAAUUGGCGGGG
rnacentral:rRNA from 1 species